rnacentral:lncRNA from 1 species
UUUCAGAUGUGAUGACCAACUUCUCUCUCUGACUUACUGGGGUGGAGCCCUUGGCCAAGUCUCCGUUCUGCACAUCCUCCCAACUUUGGUGUCCCUUGAGCCUUCCUUGGAAAACCCUCUCCAGCCUGCAUUGGACACAGACUUUGAGUUUGGCAUGACUUAGUUGGAGUCCCAGCUGUUCCCUUUGGUAGACAGUGUGAACUUUGCACAAGGUGACAAAAAAGAAGACACACAGAAACACAGAGGAGAAGGCCAUGUGAAGAUGGAAGCAGAGGUUAGAGUGAUGCAGCCAUAAGCCAAGAAAUGCCAGGGAGGAAGUUCCUCUACCCAGGAGAGAGGCAUGGAACGGAUUCUCCCCAAGAGUCUUCAGAAGGAAACAACCCUGCCCACACCUUGACUUUGGACUUCUGGCCUUCAGAACUGUGAGUGAAUAAAUUUCUGUUGUUUUAAGCCUCCACUUUGGUGAUAAUUUCUUACAGCAACCAUAGGAAAUAGAUGCAGUGCAGUGUAGGUAGGCUGUACAUGGCAAUGAGUCUGGUGAUGGGCAGAUAGUGAAGAGUAGGAUAUUUUGGCAAUCCGAGUUAUUUUUGUGAGUUCUAUUUGAUCAAGGACCAUUGUUUCUCUGUGUUGAUUUUUCAUAAACUCCAUCUACAUAACAUGAACAAGACUGGUUAAAAAAUUAAAAAAAAAAAAAGCGG